GACGAACGCUGGCGGCGCGCCUAACACAUGCAAGUCGAACGGAGCUAUUUCGACAGAUCCUUCGGGUGGACAUUGGCUUAGCUUAGUGGCGAACGGGUGAGUAACACGUGAGGAACCUGCCCUUCAGAGGGGGACGAACAGUUGGAAACGGCUGCUAAUACCGCAUAAUGUACAGAGGGGGCGAUCCCUUUUGUAUCAAAGGAGAAAUCCGCUGAAAGAUGGGCUCACGUCUGAUUAGCUGGUUGGUGGGGUAAAGGCCUACCAAGGCUGCGAUCAGUAGCCGGACUGAGAGGUUGAACGGCCACAUUGGGACUGAGAUACGGCCCAG
rnacentral:rRNA from 1 species